rnacentral:rRNA from 1 species
CCUACGGGGGGCUGCAGUCGAGAAUCUUCGGCAAUGGGCGCAAGCCUGACCGAGCGACGCCGCGUGCGGGAUGAAGGCCUUCGGGUUGUAAACCGCUGUCGAGGGGAAUGAAGUGCAGGUGGGUUCUCCCAUCUGUUUGACAGAUCUCUGGAGGAAGCAUGGGCUAAGUUCGUGCCAGCAGCCGCGGUAAGACGAACCAUGCAAACGUUAGUCGGUUUCACUGGGGUAGAAGCGUGCGUAAGUGGGGUGUGAAAGCCCGCAGCCCAACUGAGGAAUUGCGCUUGAUACUGCAUGACUAGAGAAUGAUAGAGGUGGGUGGAACUGAUGGUGGAGCGGUGAAAUGCGUUGAUAUCAUCAGGAACACCAGUGGCGAAGGCGACCCACUGGGUCAUUUCUGACGCUGAGGUACGAAAGCUAGGGUAGCGAACGGGAUUAGAUACCCCAGUAGUC